rnacentral:rRNA from 1 species
AGCGUAGACGGUGUGGCAAGUCCGAUGUGAAAGGCAUGGGCUCAACCUGUGGACUGCAUUGGAAACUGUCAUACUUGAGUGCCGGAGGGGUAAGCGGAAUUCCUAGUGUAGCGGUGAAAUGCGUAGAUAUUAGGAGGAACACCAGUGGCGAAGGCGGCUUACUGGACGGUAACUGACGUUGAGGCUCGAAAGCGUGGGAGCAAACA